CUACGGGCCGCAGCAGUUAGGGAUAUUCGGCAAUGGGGGAAACCCAGACCGAGCAAUGCCGCGUGAAUGAAGAAGUAUUUCGAUAUGUAAAGUUCUGUUGUUAAGGAAGAAAGGUACGAAUAGGAAAUGAUUCGUAAUUGACGGUACUUAACCAGAAAGCCCCUGCUAACUACGUGCCAGCAGCAGCGGUAAUACGUAGGGGGCGAGCGUUAUCCGGAAUUAUUGGGCGUAAAGGGUGCGUAGGCGGCCUGUCAAGUCCGAGUUGAAAGCCCACGGCUUAACCGUGGAGGGUGCUCGGAAACUGAUAGGCUCGAAUCCAGAAGAGGCAAGUGGAAUUCUAUGUGGAGCGGUGGAAUGCGUAGAUAUAUGGAGGAACACCAGUGGCGAAGGCGGCUUGCUGGGCUGGUAUUGACGCUGAUGCACGAAAGCGUGGGGAGCAAACAGGAUUAGAUACCCUUGUAGUC
rnacentral:rRNA from 1 species